rnacentral:rRNA from 1 species
CUCCUGGAAACGGGUGGUAAUGCCGGAUGCUCCAGAUGACCGCAUGGGAUUCUGGGAAAGCUUUUGCGGCAUGGGAUGGGGUCGCGUCCUAUCAGCUUGAUGGCGGGGUAACGGCCCACCAUGGCUUCGACGGGUAGCCGGCCUGAGAGGGCGACCGGCCACAUUGGGACUGAGAUACGGCCCAGACUCCUACGGGAGGCAGCAGUGGGGAAUAUUGCACAAUGGGCGAAAGCCUGACGCAGCGACGCCGCGUGCGGGAUGGAGGCCUUCGGGUUGUAAACCGCUUUUAUCGGGGAGCAAGCGAGAGUGAGUGUACCCGUUGAAUAAGCACCGGCUAACUACGUGCCAGCAGCCGCGGUAAUACGUAGGGUGCAAGCGUUAUCCGGAUUUAUUGGGCGUAAAGGGCUCGUAGGCGGUUCGUCGCGUCUGGUGUGAAAGUCCAUCGCUUAACGGUGGAUCUGCGCCGGGUACGGGCGGGCUGGAGUGCGGCAGGGGAGACUGGAAUUCCCGGUGUAACGGUGGAAUGUGUAGAUAUCGGGAAGAACACC